CUGACUCUCUUCGGUGACGGGUAUUCUUGGGUGGAUAAUACGGAUUACGUUGUUAUUGCUUAAGAAUACGCGUAGUCGAGGAGAGUACUAGCGGCAGGCGGGCAGCGGCCGCCCCUCCCAGCCCACCAGCUGGCCACUAAAAGCUCCCGGUUGCCAAGGACUUCCUUCUUAAGGUUUUGAUCAAGUUAGAUGCACUGCUCAGAAGACAAAUGGCAUCACAGAACAAAUUUGAAAGAAGUUUCAGGAAAACAGCUGCAUUAGAAGACCAAGGGAUUUCCAGGAACAAGAUGAGAAGAGUAUUUUACUGUAUCAAACAUGUUCUUUAUUACAACUCGGGGCAACUAAAAACAGUCACUACAGCUGGUUACCAAUUAAGUCCCUACCAAAAAAAAGAAUAACCUUUAGAUCUCUCUUUAAUGAGGAUAAAAAUGUGUUUAUACUGAUCAUGAUUUUCUGAACGCAAGUCUAUUUCUAACUUAUCAGUGGACUCCUGGCUCUUAAAUGUAGUAUUUGAAUCAAAUGCCCAGGAACUUUGAAUGGCACCCACCCACCGAUUAGAAGGCAAAGAGAUGAAUUAGAAGUAGCUGAUAAAAUCCAUGAUAUGAUUUGCCGUACUUUAACAAAGGACAUUUUGUAUAAUGUGACAAAAUCACAACAAAAUAUAGAGUGUCUUGUUACAAAGGGAUCAGCUAUACGUUAUUUGAAACUUCCAUUCUGAGACUGCAGAUGCAGAAUACAUGCUAAGUCGCUGCUACUCAACAGAAGUUGAUUCUGUUUUCAGGGAAUUGGCCAUAAUGAGAGAAAAAAAUCAUCUGCAAGUAAUAAUUAAGGGGUAAUACAAUUAAGCUUCUGAAAAUAGAAUAAAAUGUGUGUGUAGAUGCACUGAGGCUGCUAAAAAAAAUAGAAAGCAGAUCACUUCAAUCAAAUUCACACCUACAUUGUGCAGUUACUAAUAAAGUGUAGCAAUUUUAAAUUCAUUUAAAGUCCUUUUUGAAAAAAAGGAAGAAGGAAAAGAAAAUAAAGAUCUAUCAGUUGCAUCAAAAAUGGUUUAAUUCAGUUGAAGUCACAGGCUGGUUUAGGAAAAUUGGAUUUUACUGAUCUUCUAUUGAUUUUUAGCAAAUUUAAAACUGUCGCUAUCUGCUGAUUCUGCUGAUCCACAAAUUCAAAGUGUCCAAACAAUUUACAUAUCACUGAAAAAUGACUGUUUUAAUGCACUGUAUUUAUAAAGCAGCACUCUUUUGUGGCGUCUGCAGCUAGCCGACUACAGAACGAACACUCUGACAUCAUUCUUUCCAGCAUACAGAGAAGUCUCUUUUUUUUUUUUUUUUUACUCAGCCAUAACAUAUUGACUGAGAAAUAAAACCAUUUCUCAUUUCCU